UACGUAGGGCGCGAGCGUUGUCCGGAAUUAUUGGGCGUAAAGAGCUCGUAGGCGGCUUGUCGCGUCGGUUGUGAAAGCCCGGGGCUUAACCCCGGGUCUGCAGUCGAUACGGGCAGGCUAGAGUUCGGUAGGGGAGACUGGAAUUCCUGGUGUAGCGGUGAAAUGCGCAGAUAUCAGGAGGAACACCGGUGGCGAAGGCGGGUCUCUGGGCCGAUACUGACGCUGAGGAGCGAAAGCGUGGGGAGCGAACAGG
rnacentral:rRNA from 1 species